GACUUUGUACAGUGGCAGUAUCGUAGCCAAUGAGGUAUAUCUAAGGCGCGAUUAUUGCUAAUUGAAAGAAUUUUUACAUGUUUAUUGUCCAUCUGUAUUUCUUCCUUUAUCAAGUAUGUGUCCAAGUUUUUGUUUCUUUUUAAA
rfam:Myotis lucifugus cont2.19251, whole genome shotgun sequence.